rnacentral:rRNA from 1 species
UACAGAGGGGGCAAGCGUUGUUCGGAAUUACUGGGCGUAAAGGGCGCGUAGGCGGCCUUCUAAGUCGAACGUGAAAUCCCCGGGCUCAACCCGGAACUGCGUCCGAUACUGGAAGGCUUGAAUCCGGGAGAGGGAUGCGGAAUUCCGAGGUGUAGCGGUGAAAUGCGUAGAUAUCUGGAGGAACACCGGUGGCGAAGGCGGCAUCCUGGACCAACACUGACGCCGAGGACGC